UGUUGGAGGGAUCCUGGGCUAUGGGGCUUGCAUGUUGUUUUUUGUUGUCGGUGGGACUACUCCUAUGCUUAAGUGCUUUGCUGUAUCAAGCCCAUGUACUCAGCAACUUGUAGGACGAAGCCUCACCUAGGAGUAGCCUGGGAAGAGCAGAAUAUAUCUAUUGAGCAUGGUAAGCUAGGUUUUAGCUAUGCCUUCCACUUGUUGGGUGUGAAAUUCACUCCCAUGUGCCAGGCUAGCCCAGAGCACACAGGACCCUGUUGGAGUGGUGCGCAGAACUUGUACUGGCCCUCGGCAAAGAGGUGAAUUUCAUCCAUGGUUGGGUAGAAGACAAGUAGGAUUUUAUCAGCAGCGAGAGGGCAAUCCUAAGAAUAUUUUCUUUUUCUAUUGUGUCCUUGGGCCCACAGCCCAAUAAUUCUGCUAGUGCUAGGCAUCAUACUUUUUAUUUCAGUCUAAUUCAAACCUAGAAACUCUUCUCAGCUUCAAGCAUGGAUUUUUUGGAUAAUAUAAGGCAGUGGUUCUCAACUUUUGUACUGGUGACCUCUUUCACACAGCAAGCCUACGAGUGUGACCCCCUUAUAAAGCCUAUCUACUUCCAGAUCUCAUGCUAGUACAACAAACAUGUUCUGCUGAACUAGCUUCAUCUACGUAUAACUCCUGGCUUCCCCAUACAACAGCAGCAGAGCAGGUCUGGCAGGAGCAGCACAAGCCUCCAUACAUGGGGCCUGACUCACCACUAUGUUACUCCACUAUCCCUUCUUGUGCGGUGGAUGCUUGUUUGCUGAAGCACCUCUGCCAAUAUCCAGUGUGGCUGCUGGGAGCAGGGGCUGGGGCCAAGAAGAGAAGUUUUUGCUCUCUGUGCCAUUCUCCUCUGGACUCAGCAGAUUCCCAUAAAGCUGCUUGACGACGCAUUAGGGGUGGUGUCAUAAACAGAUUGUUAAGGGUUAAUGUCUCUUGUACCUGUAAAGGGUUACAAGCAGGGAACUGGACACCUGACCAGAAGACCAAUCAGAAGACAAGAUACUUUUAAAUUUGGGUGGAGGGAAGCUUUUGUGUGUGUUCUUUGUCCGUUGUGUGUUCUUCUCUCGGAGGGUCUGAGAGAGACCAGACGUUACUACAGGCUCUCUAAGUUUCUUUCCAAAUAGUAAGUAAAAACAGGCGGUUUAGGCUUUUUGAUUGUUUUACUCUAUUUGCAAUUGUGGAUUUGGCUGGUUAACUUUUAUAUGUGUAGUUGCUGGGAAUAUUUUGAUUUGUAUUGG